UACGUAGGGUGCAAGCGUUAAUCGGAAUUACUGGGCGUAAAGCGUGCGCAGGCGGCGAUGUAAGUCAGAUGUGAAAUCCCCGGGCUCAACCUGGGAACUGCAUUUGUGACUGCAUCGCUGGAGUGCGGCAGAGGGGGAUGGAAUUCCGCGUGUAGCAGUGAAAUGCGUAGAUAUGCGGAGGAACACCGAUGGCGAAGGCAAUCCCCUGGGCCUGCACUGACGCUCAUGCACGAAAGCGUGGGGAGCAAACAGG
rnacentral:rRNA from 1 species